CCUACGGGGGGCAGCAGUGGGGAAUAUUGCACAAUGGAGGAAACUCUGAUGCAGCGACGUCGCGUGAGCGAAGAAGGUUUUCGAAUCGUAAAGCUCUGUCCUAUGGGAAGAAGAAAGACGGUACCAUAGAAGAAAGCCCCGGCUAACUACGUGCCAGCAGCCGCGGUAAUACGUAGGGGGCGAACGUUAUCCGGAAUGAUUGGGCGUAAAGGGGAUGUAGGCGGACCUGUAAGUCAGGUGUGAAAGGCAUGGGCUCAACCCAUGUAAGCACUUGAAACUGCGGGCCUUGAGGGAAGGAGAGGUAAGUGGAAUUCCUAGUGUAGCGGUGAAAUGCGUAGAUAUUAGGAGGAAUACCGGUGGCGAAGGCGACUUACUGGACUUUUACUGACGCUGAGGUACGAAAGCGUGGGGAGCAAACAGGAUUAGAUACCCGAGUAGUC
rnacentral:rRNA from 1 species